rnacentral:pre_miRNA from 1 species
UGACUUUUUCCUAAGUCAAACUUCUCUAGAUUUGAUCAAGUUUAUAGAAAAAUAUAGCAAUAUUUUCAACACAAAGCAAAGAAACUAUCAAAAUAUGUUUAAUGUUAGAUGUAAUGAAACUAAUUUGGUGCUAUAAGUGUUGCUAUAUUUUUCUAUAAACUUGGUAAAAUUUUCAAGAAGUUUGACUUAAAAAAGUCAAAA